AUUGAACGCUGGCGGAAUGCUUUACACAUGCAAGUCGAGCGGCAGCGCGGGGCAACCUGGCGGCGAGCGGCGAACGGGUGAGUAAUGCAUCGGAACGUACCCAGUCGUGGGGAGUAACUGUCCGAAAGGACAGCUAAUACCGCAUACGUCCUGAGGGAGAAAGCGGGGGAGUCGCAAGACCUCGCGCGAUUGGAGCGGCUGAUGCCGGAUUAGCUAGUUGGUAGGGUAAAGGCCUACCAAGGCGACGAUCCGUAGCUGGUCUGAGAGGACGACCAGCCACACUGGAACUGAGACACGGUCCAGACUCCUACGGGAGGCAGCAGUGGGGAAUUUUGGACAAUGGGCGCAAGCCUGAUCCAGCAAUGCCGCGUGCAGGAUGAAGGCCCUU
rnacentral:rRNA from 1 species